UACGUAGGGGGCAAGCGUUGUCCGGAAUCAUUGGGCGUAAAGCGUGCGCAGGCGGUUUUGUAAGCCAGAUGUGAAAUCCCCGGGCUUAACCUGGGAAUGGCAUUUGGGACUGCAAGGCUCGAGUGCGGCAGAGGAGACUGGAAUUCCUGGUGUAGCAGUGAAAUGCGUAGAUAUCAGGAGGAACACCGAUGGCGAAGGCAGGUCUCUGGGC
rnacentral:rRNA from 1 species